rnacentral:rRNA from 1 species
GACGGGGGGUCCUAGCGUUGUUCGGAAUCAUUGGGCGUAAAGCGGGUGCAGGUGGUUCUGUAAGUUAGAUGUGAAAGCCUUGGGCUUAACCCAAGAAGUGCAUUUAAAACUACAAAACUUGAGUAUGGAAGAGGGUCGUGGAAUUCCAGGUGUAGUGGUGAAAUACGUAGAUAUCUGGAGGAACACCGGUGGCGAAGGCUGCUCGCUGGGCUCUACCUUACGCUGAGGCGCGAAAGCGUGGGGAGCGAACCGG